rnacentral:rRNA from 1 species
CACGUAGGGCGCGAGCGUUGUCCGGAAUUAUUGGGCGUAAAGAGCUCGUAGGCGGUUUGUCGCGUCUGCUGUGAAAACUGGGGGCUCAACCCCCAGCCUGCAGUGGGUACGGGCAGACUAGAGUGCGGUAGGGGAGAUUGGAAUUCCUGGUGUAGCGGUGGAAUGCGCAGAUAUCAGGAGGAACACCGGUGGCGAAGGCGGGUCUCUGGGCCGAUACUGACGCUGAGGAGCGAAAGCGUGGGGAGCGAACAGG